CACACGUGCUACAAUGGCAUAUACAAAGAGAAGCGACCUCGCGAGAGCAAGCGGACCUCAUAAAGUAUGUCGUAGUCCGGAUUGGAGUCUGCAACUCGACUCCAUGAAGUCGGAAUCGCUAGUAAUCGUGGAUCAGAAUGCCACGGUGAAUACGUUCCCGGGCCUUGUACACACCGCCCGUCACACCAUGGGAGUGGGUUGCAAAAGAAGUAGGUAGCUUAACCUUCGGGAGGGCGCUUACCACUUUGUGAUUCAUGACUGGGGUGAAGUCGUAACAAGGUAACCGUAGGGGAACCUGCGGUUGGAUCACCUCCUUA
rnacentral:rRNA from 1 species